GACGAACCGGACAAACGUUAUUCGGAAUCACUGGGCUUAAAGGGUGCGUAGGCGGCGCUGAAAGUUGGGUGUGAAAUCCCUCGGCUCAACCGAGGAACUGCGCCCAAAACUGCAGUGUUUGAGGGAGAUAGAGGUGAGCGGAACUUAGGGUGGAGCGGUGAAAUGUGUUGAUAUCCUAAGGAACACCGGUGGCGAAAGCGGCUCACUGGGUCUCUUCUGACGCUGAGGCACGAAAGCUAGGGUAGCGAACGGG
rnacentral:rRNA from 1 species